rnacentral:lncRNA from 1 species
AACUCUUCCGGUUCCUCCCGUGUCCUCUAUAUACGACUCGCCUCGUCGCCCCGGUACCCGUUCCUCUAUCCUCGCGCAGCAUAGGAGCACAAGCGAGGAAUCCAGUCCAGCCCCAGCAAUGGAGUGCGUCUUGGGCUUGGUCGGCCGCGACUUCGCGGUGGUGGCGGCGGACACCUCCGCCGUGCAGAGCAUCCUCGUCCACAAGACGGACGAGGACAAGGUGAUGGUCCUCGAUUCGCACAAGCUGAUGGGCGCUUCGGGGGAGCCUGGCGACCGGUAGGUUCUCCGCCCUCGCCGAUCCGUUCGUUCGGCGGCGGCUCCACCGAUUACACCUUCCCUUUUCUAGGGUUUUGCGCGCGCGCGCGAUCUGAUCCCGAUCUGGCUGGGUUUCUGUGCGGGUUCUGAUUGUGGUGUUUCGCUUGGCGCAGGGUGCAAUUCACGGAGUACAUACAGAAGAACCUCCACCUGUACCAGUUCCGCAACACCAUCCCGCUAUCCACCGCCGCCACCGCCAACUUCACCCGCGGCGAGCUUGCCACAGCCCUGCGGAAGGUACCGAUCCGAAUCAAUCUUAUCCCUUAGUGCUACUUGAUUUGCAUGCAAAAGGGUCGAGUCUUUAGAGCGCAAAAGGGUCGAUCGAGGAUAGAUUAGGGUUAGGCGUAGUCUGCUGUAAGUCCGAUUUGGGUGAGUGUCAGGUUGACUUGAGAUUAAGGUUGCAGUCGAGGGUGAUUACAGAAUCAGUUUAGUUGGGUGAAGGGGGGAUGAUGAUUUCAUUAAUCCAUGGGCAUAGGUGGUGUAUUGAGGAAUUAUUAUGGGCAACCGAAACAAGGGUUAUAUUUGCAAGCCUAAGAGAUGUGUGCCUGUAGGUUUUCUCAUGUAAAGUUGAGUAUUCUAAGCACCUUAAUAAUUUUCUGAGGUGGUUUGUGGAUGAACUGGUUCAGUUCUAGUCAUUUACUACUGUUUAGUAAAAACCUAACAUGUUAUUAAAAAAGGAAUACCAAACUGAUGCCAGUUGCAGAUUUAGUGAAAUGACUCAAGCAUGCUAUAUUUAAUGCCUCUGUACGCCUUUGUGUUGUUUUAGGGAAAUAUAUGAUGUUUUCGUAUGAGGUUUGCUACUGGAAUCAGCUAACACCAUGCUGUUCAUUUAUGUUCUAGUUUUGAACUAAUUUGUAUGGUCGAGAUUCCAGUUAUUUGAAUUGUAACACAAUUGUGUGAUGUGUACUUGUUACAAAAUUCUUGGGUGUUGGAACUCAUACCAUGUUGUUUAGUCUAUUCCUUUUCAAUAUUGUUCUCUUUAAGCCAGAACUGUAAAAAAUUUUUUUAUCACAUCGUCUCUUUGCAGCGUGAUGUCCUCUAUUUGGCAUAUCUUAAAUUUAUCUUUUGGCAAUACCCAAAUAAGUCUGAAGAUAAGUCAAAAGAAAACAUAUUUGCAUAUUAGAUGGAAUAGCAUCACUUUGUGCUGUGCGCGCUUUAUUUUCAUUCCCCAACAAUUUUAGUUGUACGUUUCCAGUUUCCAGCAGUAGGUUCAUGCUCAUGGAGCUCCAGUGAUACCAGUAAUACAUGUGCUUCUCAGUUGACUCUGUGCUUUCAGAUUGACUGUUGCAAUAGAUGGUCUUGUCCAUUGUGUUUCCAUUCAGGAAGAUGACCUUUUUGUGUUUUUCCUGUCAAUCAUUUCUUGAUACUAUAGGCUAUUUUUAAGAUGAACUCAUGGUAUAAUUGCAACCGAACAGUAUAUUGUCUUCUCUUAUUUUUUUUAUUUGAUCAGUAAUGCUUCACUAUAUAUAGGGAUGCAAUUUUGUAUCUUGUUAUAGCAAUAUGAAAUUGAUGAACCUGGAAUAUUUCUAGACAAAUUGUGUAGUGAACGAGUGAUAUUGCAAUAUUUGCUUGUGCUAGAAUUUCAUUGGCCUCUAAUUGCUAUAUAACUUUGAGGGGGCACUGGGCUGUUUUCAAGAAUUCCGGCUAUUUGCCCUAUUCCCGUGAGGCUUACUGGAGAGUAGAAAUCUUGGCUCUUGUAAACUGGCAAACUUUUGUCAUCCUCCUUACUUUUGUGGCACAGAAGGCUUUUAAUGCUUGCUCAGAUAUGAAACACGUUGUGUAUUUCCCACCAUUUAUGAUUUCAUAUUUUCAUUCAUAAAACAAUUUGCAGUCAGUGUCCAGUAAUGCUUUCUUUUUUCUUUUGCUGUUGUUUCAUUGAUAACACAUUUUUCUUCAUUUUGUCUGCUAAUAUCUAUGUCCUCUUUAUUGAGGUCCUAUAUCCCUGACACAUGCUUCAUGUUUUCCCCCUCAGAAUCCAUACAUGGUCAACGUUAUACUCGGUGGUUAUGAUAAGGAUGUUGGUGCUUCCCUGUACUACAUCGACUACAUUGCAACCCUACACAAGAUUGACAAAGGUGCCUUUGGGUACGGCUCCUAUUUCUGCUUGUCGCUGAUGGACAAGCUGUACCACCCGGACAUGACUCUUGAGGAGGCAGUGGAUCUUGUUGACAAGUGCAUUAAGGAGAUCCGCCUGCGGCUGGUCGUUGCUCCCCAGAACUUCGUGAUCAAGGUUGUGGAC